GCCAAGCAGCCGCGGUAAUUCCAGCUCCAAUAGCGUAUAUUAAAGUUGUUGUGGUUAAAAAGCUCGUAGUUGGAUCUCAACAGCCUUGAAGCGGUUAACUUUGUAGUUUUACUGCUUUAUAGGCUGUGCUUUUGCUGGAGGUUUAGGGGUGCUCUUGAUCGAGUGUCUCUGGAUGCCAGCAGGUUUACUUUGAAAAAAUUAGAGUGCUCAAAGCAGGCUAAAAUGCCUGAAUAUUCGUGCAUGGAAUAAUAGAAUAGGAUGUCGAUCCUAUUUUGUUGGUUUUCGGGACUCGACAUAAUGAUAAAUAGGGACAGUCGGGGGCAUUUGUAUUCAAACGACAGAGGUGAAAUUCUUGGACCGUUUGAAGACAAACUACUGCGAAAGCAUUUGCCAAGAAUGUUUUCAUUAAUCAAGAACGAAAGUUAGAGGUUCGAAGGCGAUUAGAUACCGCCCUAGUUCUAACCAUAAACGAUGCCAGCUAGCGAUCUGCCUGCGUUUUUACUGUAGACUGGGCAGGAAGCUUCCGGGAAACCAAAGCAUUUGGGUUCCAGGGGAAGUAUGGUUGCAAAGCUGAAACUUAAAGGAAUUGACGGAAGGGCACCACCAGGAGUGGAGCCUGUGGCUUAAUUUGACUCAACACGGGAAAUCUCACCAGGCCCGGACACUGGAAGGAUUGACAGAUUGAUAGCUCUUUCUUGAUUCGGUGGGUGGUGGUGCAUGGCCGUUCUUAGUUGGUGGAGUGAUUUGUCUGGUUAAUUCCGAUAACGAACGAGACUCUGUCCUGCUAAAUAGUUUCUACUUCUCUUUUGAGUAGAAAUUUCUUCUUAGAGGGACUGGUGACUCUUAGUCACACGAGAUUGAGCAAUAACAGGUCUGUG
rnacentral:rRNA from 1 species